GAUGAACGCUAGCUACAGGCUUAACACAUGCAAGUCGAGGGGCAGCAUGGUCUUAGCUUGCUAAGGCCGAUGGCGACCGGCGCACGGGUGAGUAACACGUAUCCAACCUGCCGUCUACUCUUGGACAGCCUUCUGAAAGGAAGAUUAAUACAAGAUGGCAUCAUGAGUCCGCAUGUUCACAUGAUUAAAGGUAUUCCGGUAGACGAUGGGGAUGCGUUCCAUUAGAUAGUAGGCGGGGUAACGGCCCACCUAGUCUUCGAUGGAUAGGGGUUCUGAGAGGAAGGUCCCCCACAUUGGAACUGAGACACGGUCCAAACUCCUACGGGAGGCAGCAGUGAGGAAUAUUGGUCAAUGGGCGAGAGCCUGAACCAGCCAAGUAGCGUGAAGGAUGACUGCCCUAUGGGUUGUAAACUUCUUUUAUAAAGGAAUAAAGUCGGGUAUGCAUACCCGUUUGCAUGUACUUUAUGAAUAAGGAUCGGCUAACUCCGUGCCAGCAGCCGCGGUAAUACGGAGGAUCCGAGCGUUAUCCGGAUUUAUUGGGUUUAAAGGGAGCGUAGAUGGAUGUUUAAGUCAGUUGUGAAAGUUUGCGGCUCAACCGUAAAAUUGCAGUUGAUACUGGAUAUCUUGAGUGCAGUUGAGGCAGGCGGAAUUCGUGGUGUAGCGGUGAAAUGCUUAGAUAUCACGAAGAACUCCGAUUGCGAAGGCAGCCUGCUAAGCUGCAACUGACAUUGAGGCUCGAAAGUGUGGGUAUCAAACAGGAUUAGAUACCCUGGUAGUCCACACGGUAAACGAUGAAUACUCGCUGUUUGCGAUAUACAGCAAGCGGCCAAGCGAAAGCGUUAAGUAUUCCACCUGGGGAGUACGCCGGCAACGGUGAAACUCAAAGGAAUUGACGGGGGCCCGCACAAGCGGAGGAACAUGUGGUUUAAUUCGAUGAUACGCGAGGAACCUUACCCGGGCUUAAAUUGCAGAUGAAUUACGGUGAAAGCCGUAAGCCGCAAGGCAUCUGUGAAGGUGCUGCAUGGUUGUCGUCAGCUCGUGCCGUGAGGUGUCGGCUUAAGUGCCAUAACGAGCGCAACCCUUGUUGUCAGUUACUAACAGGUCAUGCUGAGGACUCUGACAAGACUGCCAUCGUAAGAUGUGAGGAAGGUGGGGAUGACGUCAAAUCAGCACGGCCCUUACGUCCGGGGCUACACACGUGUUACAAUGGGGGGUACAGAGGGCCGCUACCACGCGAGUGGAUGCCAAUCCCCAAAACCUCUCUCAGUUCGGACUGGAGUCUGCAACCCGACUCCACGAAGCUGGAUUCGCUAGUAAUCGCGCAUCAGCCACGGCGCGGUGAAUACGUUCCCGGGCCUUGUACACACCGCCCGUCAAGCCAUGGGAGCCGGGGGUACCUGAAGUGCGUAACCGCGAGGAGCGCCCUAGGGUA
rnacentral:rRNA from 1 species